rnacentral:rRNA from 1 species
AAUAGAUACCCAGGUAGUCCACGCCGUAAACGUUGGAUACUAGGUGUGGCGGUUAUACCAAUGACUGCCGUGCCGAAGCUAACGCAUUAAGUAUCCCGCCUGGGGAGUACGGCCGCAAGGCUAAAACUCAAAGGAAUUGACGGGUCCCCGCACAAGCGGCGGAGCAUGCGGCUUAAUUCGAUGCAACCCGAAGAACCUUACCUGGGUUUGACAUCACGGGAAAAGCUGUAGAAAUACAGUGUCCAUUAGGGCCCGUGACAGGUGGUGCAUGGCUGUCGUCAGCUCGUGUCGUGAGAUGUUGGGUUAAGUCCCGCAACGAGCGCAACCCUUGUCCUAUGUUGCCAGCGGUUCGGCCGGGGACUCAUAGGAGACUGCCGGGGAUAACUCGGAGGAAGGUGAGGACGACGUCAAGUCAUCAUGCCCCUUAUAUCCAGGGCUGCACGCAUGCUACAAUGGCCGGUACAACGGGCAGCGACCCCGCGAGGGUGAGCGAAUCCUAAAAAGCCGGUCCUAGUUCGGAUUGAAGUCUGCAACUCGA